rnacentral:misc_RNA from 1 species
AAGUGAAGGAGAAGUUGUGAUAGAUUUGUAGUUCUUUCGAGAGCUAGGAAUUAAUAUAGAGCAGUGACUUCUUUCUAGUGAACUGAGGCCGCCGGCGCCGGAGAAUGAAAUAGCAUGGAGGCCUCCGAUUCUCAUCGUGCUUGAUACGACCGAAAUCACAGAGAUUGGAGGUCAAAAUCUUCAGUCUAUUAUUUACCAAAACACCCCUUAACGCACUUCCUAAUUCCUAUUUUAAUUUAUUUUUUUUU